rnacentral:rRNA from 1 species
GUGGAUUAGAUAUCCUAGUAGUCCACACCGUAAACGAUGAAUGCUAGGUGUGGGGGCGCAAGCCUCCGUGCCGCAGCUAACGCAAUAAGCAUUCCACCUGGGGAGUACGGCCGCAAGGUUGAAACUCAAAGGAAUUGACGGGAGCCCGCACAAGCAGUGGAGUAUGUGGUUUAAUUCGACGCAACGCGAAGAACCUUACCAGGUCUUGACAUCCCGAGAAGUCGGCGUAAUGGCUGAUGUGCCCUUCGGGGAAUUCGGUGACAGGUGGUGCAUGGCUGUCGACAACU